UGGGGUGCACAAGCUCCAUCAGGUAGCUGCAGGUCCCGUACGACCACGGCCCGCACCCUGGAGCUUCCCCGUCUGCAGCAGCUUCUGGAUCCAAGGUAUUCAUUCAUCUCUCUACUGACCUAAAGCAUGCAAGUGUUUCUCCUCUCAACAUUUUUUAGAUUCAUAUUAGUCUAAUGAUGUGGUGUUAGUCUGACGAUGGUUUAUAUGGGAGGCUAUUAUUUUAUUGUAAGGUGUUUUUGACAAUUUUCCUUGACUGAUUUCUGCAACAGCAAGUGUGAGAUACUUUUGACAAUUUUCCUUGACUGAUUUCUGCAACAAUAUAGUUCAUUACAUAUUAUACUCUCCAAGUAACAACAGCUACUAUUCUGUGCAGAUUUUUUUUCCUAAACAAGAUGUUGUAUGCAAAUUCGUAUCGCUGAAAAAUGAGUCUAAUAGAUUAUUUUGUAAUAAUCAAGUAACAAUAGUCGUUGUGUCAUGUGCAGACUUUUUUCUAGAUAUGCAUAUGCCGUGAUUAAUUUGGUACCUUCUCUAUAAUAGUUGUAGUUAGUCCAAUGUUGGAUUUGCCUUGUUUGCACAAUUAUGUAGUCUUGUUAUUAUGGAGGAGGAAAGCUGGUCUUUUUUGGUUACUAAACGUAGGGCUUAUACAUGUUCAUGUUAGAGUUGAGCUUUGCAAGUUUGUGGUCUGGCUAGGACAGUGUAGAUAUUUCUAUGUGCAUCUCUUAUCUAGUACUACCUCUUAACCAAAAUAUAAGACGUUUUUGCAGUUCAAUUUGAACAGCAAAAAUGUCAUAUAUUUUUUACGGAGGGAGUACUAGAUAAGAGAUAUCCUAAAUAAAGGCUAUUCCAGUCCGUUGAUCUCCGCAUCUAAAUAAACUCCAAUGGUCGUGUCUUUUUUCAUGCUACAAAUACUGUCAUGGUGGUCCCUGUUAAGCCGCAAUGAGAAUCUUUUAUCCUUUCCGGUACAUCUCUGUUUUCUUAAAUUGAAGAGAAGAAAGAAACACUCAGGAUGCUACUGUCGACUUUUUUGUUGUUGAUAUAAAUACACUAGUUACACGGACCAUUUUCUCUUCAUGCUUACAAACAUGACUGGCUUGUGAUUUGUGUUCCAUUCGGCCAGUUCUUUUUCUGGUUUCUCAAGAGAUGCUAAAGAUGCUCACUAGUUAAUAACAUGACAGCAUGCUCCUGUAGCUAGUCGGGAUUUGGGUCUAUUAUGAUACUAUAAGUUGAUUGCACUAACCAGCAUGGUGGUAAUGUCGAGUCGAGUUGAGCACUGUCCACUUUUCACUGCCUGUUGUCUCAUGGUUCGCCAUUCUACCUUGAAGGGAAAAGGGCGGCACUCUACCUUGAAGUUGAUAGAGACGGCUCCAUUCUCACACUGCUCCUACCGUAGCCGGCUUGAUUUGGACCUCAUCAAGGUAUGUCUCUGCUCCCUCUCCCUCUCAUGAUGUGCUCUGGCUGUCACCAUAUUGCUUAGGUGUGUGAAAACUGAUGCUUUCUUCCUGUAUUAGCUUGCUGUUACUUAACGAACUGAUUAGUAACAUACAGAUAUACACACGCUCGUUUUUUUAUGAAACAUCCAAAACAAGUCCCCAUCCUGUGGCCAUCUAUCUCCUCUCUUUUCAAUCUACAUGUACACACUUAUGUUUCCAAAGUUCCCUGGCCAGAGCAAUGUGGAACGAUUAAUUAGUUAUUAACCAAUGCCAUUUUUUAGUCAUUUUUGCUUACGUGAUGAAUCAAUGUAACUUGUACUUGGAAAUUUAUCUUUGGGAGCCAUCAUAUUUGCUCGCUACACCAUAUUACCUAGAGUAUGACAAGAGAACUGAUUCUUCUCAACCACACUAGGUGAGUAAAAAAACUGAAGCUUUCUUUAUUCAGAGAUGAGAUGAGAGGUCAGGUCCUAUCAUAGCCAGCUGAUAUGCAUCUGCAAGUUGUACCUACAGGAUAUAUACCACUGGUUCUUUGGUCCUUCAAUUUUUAUACAAGUGCAUGACUAAAAUCAAAAUUAAAUUUACUUCGAUGUUCAGUUUAUUCCAUGAUGAAUCUGCACCGCUUUCUACUUCAGAAUUUCCACUAUGUGUCAACAUCUUUUCAACUUCGUGUGUUUUAUUAUUUAUUUAUGAAAUUUGCAGCGCGAUGGAGGCCGGCCGCAUCGGGUCGAUUCCGUCCACCUAUUUCUGAGCGGUGGACCUUGAUGACGGCCUCCCUCCUGACAGUCUGCAGGACCAUAGGAAGGGGAAGGAGGCAGAGGCAGGGUCUCCUUGCACCCCCACGCAAAAUCAAGAGCAAGGGGAAGAUGCUCGCUUUCAUAAAAAGGAUGACGCCAGGGGAUCAUCGACAGCCCGUAAUGCUAAUGGAGUGUAAAUCCAUCUAUGUAUUUCAUGAAGAGGUACACAACCCAAGAGAUGCUGCUUUGGUUUGGUGUUUCUUCCUUGUCCUAAGGGAGCGCGGGUGGGAGGGAACACUUACUACUAGUUCAAUUUUCUUUGCUUGUCACUUUUGCUCUUGUUUCUUUGAUUUGGUUGAACGUCUUAAUUGAUUAAUAAAGUCUGGUAGUAAUCAUUGGUAAAAAUAAAUAUAUUUAUA